rnacentral:lncRNA from 1 species
GCUUAUGCAGAGAUUUUCAAAAUAGACCUAGAAGAAGGAACAGAAAAUGUCCAGCAAAGUCUUUUCACACCAGCUGCUCAGCUGGAGAAAACAGCACUUGGGAGUCAGAGAGCAAAAGUGUUCAGUGAAGAAGUUUAUUCACGAGGGAAGAGUUUCAUUGGUGUUGGAAGGAAAACACAGAAAAGUAAUCACAGCCCACUAGAUUACAACAGGUUGAAUAUUUGCUUUCUUGGUUACUACUUCUCACCAGGACACCUGAUAUUGUGUCUGCUCCCAGAUCUGCAAGUACAGCAUUAUAUAGAUCAGAUGGAUACCCUGGAAGAAAUAAGUCAAGUAGCUGUGAGGAAAAGGGACUUGGUCACUAUGUUCUGGAACAACACUUUAACAAAGAAUGGUAGUCUAUGGAUUGAUGAUAAAAUUGGAUGUAUGAAGCAGUUCCUGCUCAGUGGACAAUUUCUUAGUAAAGGGAAGCUAGAAUUUUAUUAAAAUUUUGUGGGCCCAAAAUGUUCAUGAGACUUUCCAUAUUCUAAAGAACAGGUAUUUCCAUCCUUGCAGAGGUUCCUUUGCUUCCAUUUUCUGUGCCUAUUAGUGAAAUAUAAAUAAUUCUACUACAUCUGUGGUCUUGUCUAAAAUCUCUUGUUGGUAUUUUUUUUUUCUUUUUCUUUGGGACUAAUAUCCAAUAAUCCUGAAAUGCAGUAAAAAAUGUAGUAUUUGCUUCUCUCCAACUCUUGGGGCUAAGAGCAAGCUGAGGGAU